rnacentral:lncRNA from 1 species
GAUUCAGUUUGAAACCUUCAAUUCAUCUUGCAAAUUCAGUGCUUGUUUCCUUGUUCUUGCUAGUUCUUCGAUUGCUUGCAAGACGGGAGCCCUAGGGGCUGGUUGUCGCGCCCCACAAGAUCGUGACGGCUAUUGGACAUGGUGUAUCGGUUGCUAAGGCGCGGUCUUGAGGGUUGUAGUCGGGCCGUGAACGUCAUCUCCAUCCACCAAUCGAGUUAUCCCUGUCUCUCAUCAAAAGAUGAGGCAAAAACCCUAGCGGGUUCGCAUC